CCUACGGGUGGCAGCAGUGAGGAAUAUUGGUCAAUGGGCUUACGCCUGAACCAGCCAAGUCGCGUGAGGGACGACUGUCCUAGGGGUUGUAAACCUCUUUUGUCAGGGAGCAACGCCGGCCACGAGUAGCCGGACUGAGAGUACCUGAAGAAAAAGCAUCGCCUAACUCCGUGCCAGCAGCCGCGGUAAUACGGAGGAUGCGAGCGUUAUCCGGAUUUAUUGGGUUUAAAGGGUGCGUAGGCGGAAUGCCAAGUCAGCGGUAAAAUCGCGGGGCUCAACCUCGCUACGCCGUUGAAACUGGCGUUCUUGAGUGAGCGAGAGGUAUGCGGAAUGCGUGGUGUAGCGGUGAAAUGCAUAGAUAUCACGCAGAACUCCGAUUGCGAAGGCAGCAUACCGGCGCUCAACUGACGCUCAUGCACGAAAGCGUGGGUAUCGAACAGGAUUAGAUACCCCGGUAGUC
rnacentral:rRNA from 1 species